CGGGUGGUAAUGCCGGAUGCUCCAGUUGAUCGCAUGGUCUUCUGGGAAAGCUUUCGCGGUAUGGGAUGGGGUCGCGUCCUAUCAGCUUGACGGCGGGGUAACGGCCCACCGUGGCUUCGACGGGUAGCCGGCCUGAGAGGGCGACCGGCCACAUUGGGACUGAGAUACGGCCCAGACUCCUACGGGAGGCAGCAGUGGGGAAUAUUGCACAAUGGGCGCAAGCCUGAUGCAGCGACGCCGCGUGAGGGAUGGAGGCCUUCGGGUUGUAAACCUCUUUUAUCGGGGAGCAAGCGAGAGUGAGUUUACCCGUUGAAUAAGCACCGGCUAACUACGUGCCAGCAGCCGCGGUAAUACGUAGGGUGCAAGCGUUAUCCGGAAUUAUUGGGCGUAAAGGGCUCGUAGGCGGUUCGUCGCGUCCGGUGUGAAAGUCCAUCGCUUAACGGUGGAUCCGCGCCGGGUACGGGCGGGCUUGAGUGCGGUAGGGGAGACUGGAAUUCCCGGUGUAACGGUGGAAUGUGUAGAUAUCGGGAAAGAACACC
rnacentral:rRNA from 1 species